AGAGUCCAGUGUUUUUUUCUGUCGGGCAAGCAAAUUUGUAUAUCACACUGUACCGGUGUCCAGCUGACUUUCCAAUGUUAAUUAUGUUGUUUAUGCAAAAAAUCAACAAGAAAACAGACGCUAUAGUGAAAAAAUUAUCAGGACAAGUGAUUUUACAUGUGCCACUGUUCCGGAGUACACUAGCAAUUUUAAAGUUAUUUCCCUAUGAAAAGUAAAUCAAGUUGUGGGUAAAGCGUU